rnacentral:rRNA from 1 species
AUUGAACGCUGGCGGCAUGCCUUACACAUGCAAGUCGAACGGCAGCACGGACUUCGGUCUGGUGGCGAGUGGCGAACGGGUGAGUAAUGUAUCGGAACGUACCUUUCAGUGGGGGAUAACGUAGCGAAAGUUACGCUAAUACCGCAUAUUCUGUGAGCAGGAAAGCAGGGGAUCGCAAGACCUUGCGCUGAUUGAGCGGCCGAUAUCAGAUUAGCUAGUUGGUGAGGUAAAGGCUCACCAAGGCGACGAUCUGUAGCGGGUCUGAGAGGAUGAUCCGCCACACUGGAACUGAGACACGGUCCAGACUCCUACGGGAGGCAGCAGUGGGGAAUUUUGGACAAUGGGGGCAACCCUGAUCCAGCCAUGCCGCGUGAGUGAAGAAGGCCUCGGGUUG